AACGAACGCUGGCGGCAGGCCUAACACAUGCAAGUCGAGCGAGGUAGCAAUACCUAGCGGCGGACGGGUGAGUAACGCGUGGGAACGUACCCUUUGCUACGGAAUAGCCUCGGGAAACUGGGAGUAAUACCGUAUGUGCCCUUCGGGGGAAAGAUUUAUCGGCAAAGGAUCGGCCCGCGUUGGAUUAGGUAGUUGGUGGGGUAAUGGCCUACCAAGCCGACGAUCCAUAGCUGGUUUGAGAGGAUGAUCAGCCACACUGGGACUGAGACACGGCCCAGACUCCUACGGGAGGCAGCAGUGGGGAAUCUUAGACAAUGGGGGAAACCCUGAUCUAGCCAUGCCGCGUGGACGAUGAAGGCCCUAGGGUUGUAAAGUCCUUUCAGCUGGGAAGAUAAUGACGGUACCAGCAGAAGAAGCCCCGGCUAACUCCGUGCCAGCCGCCGCGGUAAGAC
rnacentral:rRNA from 1 species